rnacentral:rRNA from 1 species
AGAGUUUGAUCCUGGCUCAGAACGAACGCUGGCGGCGCGUCUUAAGCAUGCAAGUCGAGCGGGAUCCGGGGGCUUGCCCCCGUGUGAGAGCGGCGGACUGGUGAGUAACGCGUAGGCGACGCGCCCCCCGGACGGGAAUAUCCGGCAGAAAUGCCGGGGAAUGCCGGACAAUGCCGCAAGGGCCGGAGCCUUGCGGUGAAAGCGGCUUUAGCCGCGCCGGGGGAGCGGCCUGCGUCCCAUCAGCUUGUUGGCGGGGAAAGGGCCCACCAAGGCGAUGACGGGUACCCGGACUGAGAGGUUGUACGGGCACAUUGGGACUGAGAUACGGCCCAGACUCCUACGGGAGGCAGCAGCUAAGAAUAUUCCGCAAUGCGCGAAAGCGUGACGGAGCGACGCCGCGUGGGCGACGGAGGCCGGAAGGUUGUAAAGCCCUUUUGCCCCUGAGGAAAGGCCGCGCCAGGAAAUGGGCGCGGGGCGACUGUAGGGGGCGAAUAAGCGCCGGCUAAUUACGUGCCAGCAGCCGCGGUAACACGUAAGGCGCGAGCGUUGUUCGGAAUUAUUGGGCGUAAAGGGCGUGUAGGCGGCCGUGCAAGUCUGUGCGUGAAAUGCCGGGGCUCAACCCCGGCACGCGGGGGAAACUGGACGGCUUGAGCCAGCUUGGCGGGGGCGGAAUUCCUGGUGUAGCGGUGAAAUGUUUAGAUAUGACGAAGAACUCCGAUGGCGAAGGCAGCCCCCGAGGGCACAACUGACGCUCAUGCUCGAAAGUGCGGGUAUCGAACAGGAUUAGAUACCCUGGUAGUCCGCACGGUAAACGAU